rnacentral:lncRNA from 1 species
AGCUUUUGUGAUAUUGCCUGAAGCUUCUGACCAAAUACUAGAAGAGCUCUUAAAACAAAUCAUGUUACAAGAAAAAAUUCCUGUUUUAGAAAACUGAUCAGAUAAUCCCUUUACGUGGCAUGGCUUCUACAAAGGACCCAUGUGCUCAGGGGAUUAUACCUUCUGUUUACACAGGAAUAAAUAUGCAUUUUAUUUAUCAUCUGCAUUUUAAA